AGAAAAGAUCUACAAUCGCCAAGUAUCAGCACCAAUUUUGAAAAGGAAGAGUUCCCGUUUAGGAUUGGGUCAGUUUCUUUCAUCCGGAUCAAAUCAGAAUCAUUUGGCGACCCCACAGCACACAUAUUUACAGGCUCAUCCUCAACAUAAUUACAAUCAAAUGCACCUUCACAAACCCCAGUCUAGUGCCUCCCACAGCGUACAACAUUCACAGUCGUAUAAAACUCAUGCCCAUCAUUACCAAGUUGGCAGCCAAAGCGCCAUGGGUCGGCCAGAAAAUCUUGACUCCUCAUCUGUCCCUACCACUCCCAAUUUAAUAUCUUCCCAGCAGUACCAACAUCAGCAAUCAUUCUUCCAACAAAAUUUUGCCACUUCCACAACAACAGGGGUGCCAGACGGACACAUUCAUUCUAUCGGAGGAGCAGGUGACGAUUUCAACCUGUCUGGAUGUUUAUAUCGUGUUAUUGACCUUGAAGAAGCGGAUAAAGAAACAAUACAUCUAUUAGUUUUCCUGCUUAUGCAAUUCAUGUCGCGAGUUGAUUUAGCCUACCCAACGGAUGAAAAACCAAUGGUUAAACAACAAUCGAUCGUUUUGCGCCAUCUCUAUUUACUUCUUGGCUAUAAUCAAACAGAAAAAUUGUUCCAUACACCUCCAACGCGGCUCAGAACAUCAGCAGUAUUCAACUCAUUUAUAGCAAAUUUACCACAAGUUUUGGAUCAAAACCACUUGAUGGGAUGGCUCCUGUUACCAACUGUUAUACAGGUUCUUUUAUAUGCACCGAAUCAGGGUAAUGGCCUUCUACAAUCUGGAAACGAAGCUAUACAUAGUAUUUCAAAUACUUUUUCACUGUGGUACAUGGAAAUUCAUGUUCGUCGUAACUGGAUGAUGUCGUUGCUGGUAAUAUUGUAUAAAUAUCAAUAUAAUCAACCACCAUAUGCAGAUCAGAUACAGAAUUUAUUACGGAUCAUCAUAAACUCGCUCGAAUCCCAUUUCCAUCUAUGUCGAAGAAUACCGGCGACCGUUGUAAUGGACAUGCCUUCUCGGUCCCGAGACUUGAGCCAGCCGUCACUGGUAACUGAACACGACGAUAAAUUGCAGGAAACUCCUCCGCCCAGUCCAUUGUUUUAUACAGAAGGGUUAUUACAUGGCCACUCCUCAAAACACAAACCAUCAAAGACAAAUCCACUGGGAUUUCGAAAAUAUCCUGAUUCAAGCUUGGAAACAGAUGAUACAGAAUCGGAAUUAGUGGCUAUACCAGAAAGUGAUCUCUCUGAUAGUACACUUCAAUUGAGCAGUGCACCUAAUUCCUUCGAUGAUACUGCUCAUUUUGAUGAUAUAUGUGCGCCCCUGAAGCCUGAAGUCGUUAAAAAUAAAGUCACAACGCAUGUGACAACUGCUAAUCUCGCAACUGCUCAAGUAGCUAUAUCAACUAUAACAACAGGUGAAAAAGACGAUAAAGCUGAGCUCUCCAAAAAACUGCAAAAAAUAAUGUCGUCAGCUAGUGGUAACGAAAACUCUACAUCAGGUCAUGUAACUAGUGGUGCAUUAACUAAUAAAGUUGCUCUGCCGGCAAUGCCACAGAAGUGCUCAGUACAGGAAGGUGUGCGAAUGAUGGUGACUUCCUCCAUGCUGGGCCAACCAAAAGCACAGGCUAUACUAAAUCCACCGGCCAAUGUCCAGAAAGCCAUUGUAGUAACCCAAAAUACAUCAGUCGCUAUUGCUAAACCUAAAGAAAACAUGGUUUCUAAAAUAGCUACAACAAAUAUAGAAGGUAACAUCCUGAAACGUCUAUAAAGUACAGCGAGGCAA